rnacentral:lncRNA from 1 species
CUACAAAAGAUGGAAAGAAAGGCAUGAUCCGGCAUCCAAACAAGUCCACAAUUCAUUGUAGGGGGUAUCCAACAGUCGAGUACUGAUUAUUCCCAGAUCAGAUUAUUUUUGUGGCAAAAUGUCAUUAAAUGGUAUUGUAAAUAUUUGUGUGCAGCGAUCAAAUGGCAGCCGAAGCCAGUUACCAGCAAUUCUUUUGGGUCUGGGCUGGUAGAAACGUGCUGGUAUUUUUCAAAACCGCCGCAAUCAUUGAAAUUGUGAGCUUGAGCCUGUCUGCUUGCCUGCCUCUAUGUAUGCGGUGAGUUGGGGUGGAGGGGAGUGGCAGAUUCAGCCCCGUGUCAUCAGCAUAAUUUACGUGCCGGUGCUCGAGCGGAGGAACAGUCACGUUUUUGAUUCACGCUUAAUUCCAAAUGUACGGCUCUUAUCAUACGGAAAACGAGUGAGCCGAGAGGCACCCUGUGCUGAAAAACGAUCUCUGGGGGCGCUUUAGCAUUGAUGGAUCUUAUCAGUACCCAACACCACCCUGAACGCCCCUUACUCACUUACAUACAUUGUAUGUGCAUACAUACAUACAUACAUACAUCACAUUUCAAGUAAUUCAAUUAUUUUGUAUAUUAUUUUCAAUGUGCAACAAAAGCGACAACAACGACACAUGUGUAUGUAGAUAGCCAGCAUGGAACACUGGCACCGACUGGCACUGGCAAUUACACUAGUAAACAGCAAGAAAAAACGCGGACAGCAAACUCACAUUAUUUGAUUGACUUUGGACUCCAAAAAUAUUUAAUGAAAUAUGUUUUUUAUAUAGACCGGUUUCGAAAAAAAAUAAUAUCAAUGAAAAAAAAACUUUAAAUCAGGAAAAAAAGGAUGAAUUUGUUGACCACUGUUAUUCUGCUUCGUCGCCGCACGCCUAUUGAGAGAGCGAGAUGGCGAAACUUCCGCUUCGCUGCGGAGCAA